rnacentral:snRNA from 1 species
AUGCUUGCUUUGGCAGCACAUAUACUAAAANUUCUACUGAUACAGAGAAGAUUAGCAUGGCCCCUGUGCAAGGAUGGCAUGCAAAUUCGUUAAGCAUUCCCUAUUCUU